UAAACCUCUUGUCAAAGACAUGCAUCAAAAGGGUAUCAAAUUCACCCAUAAUACCUCAUACAUUUAGAGCAUUCAAAUUAAAGGCAUAAAGAUGAUGGAUAUAGGGCAAACCUAAUUGGAGAGCUUGAUUGAAAUUGAGUUGCACCCGUGAGGUUUACAAAACAAUCUUUAGGGUUUAUGUGAGGCAGAGGUGAUUCUGUGCAGUUGAGUUCCCUUCAGGGUUUGGAGGCUGCUCUGAACUCUGUUAGCUCUUCUCUCACUAUCUUUUUCCUCAGGGUAAUAGGAAUAGAAUCCAUAUUUGUUUCACUGAAACUCUAGUAUUUAUAGCCUAAUAUUGGUAGCUUAGUGGGCUUUUGAGAGAGGUCCAAGUCUGAGAUUUUUUUCUUUUAUUUAUUUAUUUAUUAUUAUUAUUAUUUAUUUAUUUAUUUUUCAUUUUUUU
rnacentral:lncRNA from 1 species